rnacentral:rRNA from 1 species
GUACGUAGGGGGCUAGCGUUGUCCGGAAUCAUUGGGCGUAAAGCGCGUGUAGGCGGUCCGGUAAGUCCCGCUGUGAAAGUCGGGGGCUCAACCCUCCGAAUGCCGGGUGGAUACUGUUCGGGCUUACGAGUGCGGAAGAGGCGGAGUGAAUUCCCUGGUCGUAGCGGUGAAAUGCGCAGAGUAAUCAGGAGGAACAACCAAUUGCGAAGGCAGACCUCGCAGGGACGGGUAACUGCGCU